ensembl:lncRNA
CACCUGCCACCAAGACCAGCAAACUGUGUGACAUGUUGGGUUUUUUGUAUAUUCCAGUUUCUCUUCUAGACACGAGAUGCAUUUGACAACCUGCAAGGCACCACACACACAGGGCUUCAGCGGUCCAUUGAGGGGCUCUACCUCAGUGUGAGGCAGCGGAAGCUAAAUCUGUACCGUCAGAAUGUUCUGUCAAGAGCCUUCACCCAUCUACUUCAUGUCAUUCUAGACAGCAACAAGCUUCGCCACCGGCUUCGGAGGAAGCUGGCAGAAGAGAAAAAGCUCCUUUUUCAGGAGAUACAAAAGCACAACAAGCUUGACUCUGCAGCCAACAUCGAUGCAGCUGUGGUGGAGCACUCCCUGAGUGGAGAGAGCACUGUGUCCCCAAUAUGGCCUUGGGAGGUUCAUGACAGCGCAAACAUUGGAACCAAGAAACGGCUUCAUGACCAAGUCAUGACAACAAAGCGACUGCAGGAGGAAAAAAACAUUCUGGUGAUGGAGAUGGCACAACACUGCACAUGGUUGCAGAACCUGGCAUUGGUUCUCAAAAACAAGGUGGCUGAGUCGGGUGGAGAGUCUGGAGACAAAGGAGCUGAAGGACUUUGCAGUCUCUUGAGGAGAAGAAACACAGAGGUGUCAGAGGGGUUGCAAGUGGUCCUGCAAAAAUACAAGACUGCUUUAGGUCCUGAGGCCUCUGUCAUUCAAAAUAUUGAAGAGGAAGACCAAAGUGUCCACAGCAGUCCAGACACCAGUGAGGAUGAAGAGGAAAGCAUAAUUUAGAUUGAAGCUGCACUGAGGAUGGACUAAGGAAAUGGACUUGCCUAGAAAGCACUAAUGUGAUAAAACAUGCAUUCGGGCGUCUUAUAUUAUUUCACACGCAUAGAUAUUAACUUGGCACUAUGGGGGAGGGAACCAAGGAAGGCAGGCUUUCCUAUGAUUGGCCGUUCUGAAGCGCGAUAUUUGAUUGACAGCCCUCCUCAGCCCGAAUUCAGCCAAGGGUUUCUUACUUGAAGGGACCUUCGCCCAGACGUGAUUGUCUUCUGAGUUUCAGCCAUUGACUACAAUACAGAAUGAAUGAGAGGAGGGCUGAGGAAGGCUCUCAAUCAAAUAUCGUGCUUCAGAAACAGCCAAUCACAGGAAAGCACGCCCUGCCUUGAUUCCCUCCCACAUAGUGCCAAAAUUAAAUUUGAGCGAGAGAGCAUAACAUCAUUCGCGAGAGGCUGUUUUGUAUGACCAAAGUUAUUCCCCCCUCUCGCUUGCAACGAGGUAAUGCUCUCGAGGAUCUUUUUUCCUGGCUCGGGGAGCUGCGCUCUGAGUGCGGACGUGCGCACAGAUAAUUUGGGCGCUCGCAGUUAACCUCUACGUGUAUGAAAUAAUAUAAUACGCCCGAAUGCAUGUUUUAUCCCAUUAGUGCUUUAUGGCACUAAUGUGUCGCCAUACUCAACCGCUUAUCCUGGCAACUUCACACCUGACACUGCACCCUUGGGUCUUCUGCAAUACACCCACCAAGUGUAAAAUAAAUCAGAUGAACACUACUAACUGCUUCCUGUCAACUGACAGCAGUCAGCUGACCGUCAUUACAUCGCUGUAGCACGUGAACAUUCAUUGGUGCCAUACUUGACAGCUCUCCACACAGUUACAUAGCAUUGUGGUGAAUGUUCAGACCACUGUUUCAUCUCUCCCCUUCCAGCGUCACAGAUUAUCAAUCUUGGUGAUGGAGGCACUAGCAUUUUGGUGUGUUAUUUAGUUAAUGUGUGUAAAAGAUGACUUCCUCAAAUGUCUUGUUUUGUUCGGAAUUCAAAGAUAUUCAGUUGACAGAAUAUAUAGAAGUAUAAAGAAACCAGAAAAUAUUACAUUUGAGAAUCUGGAAUCUGAUCAUUUUGAAUUUUUUUAUUUUUCAAAAAAUGAAAAAGUGAUUAAUCGUUCAUCCAAACAGUUGGUUAUUAAUUAAAAUCAAAUAGUUGCAUGUCAUGUAAAAUGUAAAUCAAGGAGAACGACCAUUUUGAUUGAUAGGGUGGCGUGACUAAGUAUGUAUACAUAUAAUAUGUAUGUAAUAUGCAUUAGACUGUAUGUAACAAAGAGACAGUUGUAUAGUUAAUAUAGGUACGUACAGUAUAACUGGAUUACAUGUUCUGUUGUCAGUGCUUAUGUAAAGCUAACCCUACAGUCCAUUUUUAAGAAAUACAGCCCAAAUUGUUUGUGUGUUGGACAGAUCCAUUUGGUGCAUUUUCUCCAGUAUUGUUGCAAAAGAUGAAUACAUUAUUGCCAAAAAUGACCAUUUUUUGUUUUACUUUUCCAUCAUGUUUAGAAACAUCAUGUGACAGUUUUGUGUUUUAUAAAAAAAGAUAGCCUAUCAAGAGAAAAUAUGGGAAACAAACAUAAAUAAUGCAUAAUUAAUUAUAUUUUGAAUUGAGUUAAAUUUAACAUCACAUACAUUAUUAUUUAUGUGGAUUACAUCAAUUAACUGAUCUCCUUGUGAUAUAUUUCACCCAAAUCAUCUAUAUGCAGAAUAAUGUAGCCUAUGUUUUACUUGUAGAUUUUUGAUUCAGUAAAGAUUCAUUUUCCUAAACUUAAUUACAACCCUCCUCUUGGUGUAAGAACUACAAGUAUCCCUUCUAACUUGUAUGGUUCCUAAAAUUUCAAAGGAACGAUUGUAAUGGGCAUUGUAUUUUUAAAUACAUUGUAUUCCCCAUGAUUAGAAGUUUGCAGGAUUAAACUGGAUGAUAACAUUGUAAUUAAUAACAUUACAAUGUUACAUAUAAAUGUAGUAUUGUUCAGUACUAUAUUGGGUAUAUAUUAUGUUCUAUGAUACUUAAAUACUAAACCUAAAUUGUCAUGUUAAUAUCAAAUUGAAGUUGGGGUUGACUGACGUCUUGAAAACCUUGGGGGGUGUUCACUAGCCAGUAAGGCUAUUGCUAGUUAUCUGCGACUGCUGUCGAUUAUUAAUCCAUCCUACUGCAGGUAUACUGAACUAAAUGGUUUUGUUUGGAAGCCACACCAUAUUAAAACCAAAUUAUAAAUCACAUUUACACUUUAUAGCAGGAAAAUAGAUCGAAGGAUGAGGUCUGAAAGAUAUGUUUUGAAACGUUGCUUAAUACGUUACGCCAUUGAACACACACCUUUCUGUCGGCGAGAUAGAGCAGCAGGAAAAACAUAAAAAAAGCACUCAUAAAUGUAUAUAUAUUACCUUUUUCAUAAAAUAUAUCUACUCACGAUAUAAACAUAUACGUUAUGGUCAUACUUUUAAGAACUGUUACUGUUAAGAAUUGGAGUGGAUAUAUGAUUUCGGAACCCUAAUGUCAACAUAUUAACCCUAAACCGGAAGGAGGAUACCAGAACUACAAUUUGUCCCGAGUUAUAGUGUGCUGUGUCAUAGCUAUUGUAGUUCCAAUUAAUUAUCUCUAAUAUGUAAAACUGGGAUCACGAACGUUGCAAGCUCAUUCUAUGUUUUUAAGGGUGGGAAGCACGCCUGUUUGGUCUGAUUUUAACUUUCUUAUUGGUAAGAGGGUGUAAUCAUGUUUUUUAUAGGUUUUGACCCUACUCUAUUGGUCUGCUGUCGAGUAUGAUAGUACAUGUGCAGAACUUUCCAAAACAGUUGACCCCAUGUCUGUAGCAUAUUUUGUUGUUGAACUACAAGCCUUCAAAAGUGUCACAGGUACAAGGUUCAAAGGGCACACCUGAGGAGCAGGAACCGCCCACAAAUCUCAAAUUGACAUAUGUUGCUCCCUAGGUCAAGACCUUUCCAACGAUGUCUUCACUGUUGUCCUAUGCCAAUUUUUGAUUUUCUUGUUGGUAGACUACACAUCAUGGCUGUUUGCCGUAUACAUUCAGAGACCUCUUUGAGGGCCAAGCUGGAAACAAUCACUCAAAAUCUUUUGACGGGUAUUUUGUGGCCAGAUUUAUUUAACAUAUUGAUUAUAGGAUUAUACGCAGUCAUACUAUUCAAUGUGGACCAGUUUCAAGUUUAUUUUCAACACAGUCUCAAUCCCUACUCGUCAAAUGUGUGACGCAUGGCCAAGGAUCCCUGGCGUCAAUUUGCGACGAAAAAUGGGUACCUUUUUCGUCGUUUUUCAACGCCUGAUAGACAGUCAUGCUAAUCCCUCACCGUCGGAUAUAGACGAAAGGAAAUCAAUGUCUAUCAACGGUAAUGCCGUCAGGUUAUGCAAAUAUUGUCGAUUGAUUUGUUUGACAGAUUCACCAUUAAACGUGUUUCUGGUGACAUUUCUAGUGAGAAAUUUACUUUUUCCUUGAAUAAUCUUCAGUCAGUGAAUGUGUAUGAUCUUUAUUAAUAUUUAUUAUCUGAAUGGGAAAUGCAAUAUUUUAGGAUCGAUUCACCGUUAAACGUGUUUCUAAUAACAUUUCUAGCGAGAAAUACACUUUUUACUUUCAUAAUCUUCAGUCAGUGAUUGUGUCUGAUCUUUAGUUUUAUAGUUAUUAGGAAGAUUUAAUCGUCUCGCUCGCAUGUCUCAACGACGUCAGGCUGCUAGGGACGCUGCUUUCGCUAAACUAGCAGAUCACGUGUUUCCUGCGUUUGUGUUAUUAAACUGUUACUUUAUGUAACUUUUAAUGAUAUUGUAAUAACCACAGGCGAGGUAUUGAGCGAAGUAAGCUUGAUAGCAGGUUUAUUGGAGUCCACAAUCGGACAGGC